CACGAGGCGCUGUCUACG
rnacentral:siRNA from 1 species